AUUUAACUCAGAGGUCCUGAGCUAGAAGCUAAGCUAACCACCAAGAAGGGUGCCUCUGGUCAAGUAAGGAACUACCAACCAUUCUAAGACCUGUUGGGCGAGCUUAUCAGGUUCCCAAUUUCUCCAGAAAUGCCUGGCAGUUUCAAGGAUCGAGAUAAGCACAGCUGUAAUCUACCAUGAUCCAGAGCUUAUUCACAGAUCACAGCUGUGUAAUUUCAGGAAGAUUGCUCUUCUAAUAUUGCCACUGAGAUAUUCAAACACAAUGAGGUGUGGAAGCUGGGAGGAGACGGAGAUGCUCUUAUUGCUGAAGGCUGAGGCAGGUUAUUUCCCUAUCUUCUUUAAAUGAUUGCGGUGGGAGAAAGUGGAGCUGUAAACACAUGACCUGAACCUGACUCCAGAAUGGCUAAUUGAAAGCCAUUUAUUUAGCUUCCCCCUUUCACAGAGUGACCCCAUGCUCCACAUCGUCCACUAACCAGCUUACCCCGGCUCAACUGAACACGUUGUAAAAUUACUUUCAGUGUGAGUGAGAACCCGCCAUCACAUUUUAUGACUGGUACAAUAAAGAACAAGAAAAUGCAGUUUUCAAAUGAUAAUAUGCGCAGUGUGGUGCUUUUAACUCAGUGGGACUUACGGGGAACGGUGUCAUUACAAAAAGAAGAGAAAGAAGAGGAGAAGCAAAAGGCGUUGUGCACUUAGUGCUGCCGCUGGUUGUGUUUGGGUCCGCAGUGCAAAGGGUGGAGCAGAACCUCCUAAAACAAGGGCUGUGUGUGUAUCGUCACUUUGCUCCUUGAACUCUAUAAUGUAACGGCACAACUUCCAUCAGUGAACAGAGGUGUGUGAACCUGCUUGUCUUGGUUUUCCAGCAGCGGAAGUACAGAAAAUGCAACAAGAAGACUCAGAUUUCAGGAAGGCUGGGUCGCCAAGCAGCCGCUUGGGAUGGAUGGAGUCCAAGGCGGGACCCAGCAGCCCCCAAACAGGUGUGAUUUGUGAAGGAGGCUGCAGAGAGCGGAUCAGCUGUUUCACAGUCUGGUUCAGAUUUCAUACAGAAAGACGAAAGCGAUGAUAAAUUUGCAAGUACACAGGCACAAAAGGUUCCCCACCACAGCUGGUACAUCUCGUUCCACUCUUCACAAAAUCAAGGACAACCAGCACUGGCUGUUAAAAGCCUCAUGAUUUUCAACUACUGAGAA
ensembl:lncRNA